rnacentral:sRNA from 1 species
ACAUGUUACUUCCUGUAUGGAGGCAUGGCCAGUUUCCAGCCCCGCGCUCUUCGUUCCUUCCCAGCCUGCGCCGGAGCCACAACUUUCAGGAGCAUGGACUGAAGGCGCCCUCGCCCCAGCGCCUCUCUGAGAUCCUUUGUGUUUUCCUCCGUUUCCUCCGGCCGUUUCUAUUUUGGGGGGCUCUCCGCUCCCCCCGCCUCUCCCCUCCCCUUCCCCUCUCGCAAACAUGCCUCCUUCCUUCCCGGGGCCCUGGAAGGAGCUGCCUGCCUGAAGCCCGGAGACGCCGCGCCGCGCUCAGCCCCGCCGCCGCCCGCCGGCUCUCGGGCUGUGCUGCGCUGCCGACUCAAGUUGGGGAUCCUCGGCUGCUCGCGGCCGCCGCCCGCGGUCCCUGCCUGCCCCAGGCCCGGGGCAUCGCCGCCGGCCGCCGACUCCGCGCCCUGCCCGAUCGGCUCUCUCCUUUUUGAACGGAAAGCAGCCCUUCUCCGCCGAGAGGAUCGUCCCCAGCGUGGCUCUGCGUUCCCGGUCACUUUUUGAGAUUUUCCGGGGGGCGCUCGGCGGCUUCCCGGAUUCCAAGGGGACUCGGGCCGCCGAGCGCGGGGGGCCCGUGGAGCGGGCGAGCCGGGGAAGCGCCCCGGCUUAGCGGAGGCUCGCACGGAGGCAAGAACUUAUUCAACAAGUUUAUCUCCCUGCUUUCCUCUUUUCGAUGUGCGUUUUCGGACAUGCGGAGGUUACUGGAACCGUGUUGGUGGAUUUUGUUCCUGAAAAUCACCAGUUCCGUGCUCCAUUAUGUCGUGUGUUUCCCCGCGUUGACAGAAGGCUACGUUGGGGCCCUGCACGAGAAUAGACACGGCAGCGCAGUGCAGAUCCGCAGGCGCAAGGCUUCAGGCGACCCGUACUGGGCCUACUCUGGGUUUUACUCUGUCGCCCAGGCUGGAGUGCAGUAUACUUUGGCCCAGUCAUAGCCCACUAAAGCCUUGACCUCCUGGGCUCGUGAUUGUUCCACCUCAGCUUCCUGAGUAGCUGAGACUACAGGUGUGUGCCACCACGCCUGGCUAAUUUGUUCUUUUUCAUAGAGAUGGAGUCUCACUGUGUUGCCCAGGCUGGCCUCGAAUUCCUGGCCUUAAGCGAUCCUCCCAGCUUAGCCUUGCAAAGUGGUGGGAUUAUAAAUGUGUGGCACCACACUUAGAUGCCCACUAAUGGUUUGGUGAAAGGAUUAAACCCCCCAAGAACUGAAUUUUCAGUAAUAAGGAAUUGAAGAUUUUAGUCAAGCCAGAACACACAUGAUUGGACUUCAGCAGUGAGGGUACCAAAGAAUAUUACAUUUGGAAAUUACAUUUUAAGAGAGAAGAGGAAAAAAACUGGGCGUAGAGAGUAUGGGGAGAGAAUAAAAUAUGGUGAAUAUGGUGAUGUGAUUCUUGAACUGUCCUUUUGUUUUUUUCUGACUGUAAAGAGUAGCACAUUCCCCAAUUAGACAAUCAGAAGUGUUUUCAGAUGUUCCCACCUAUCCCCUGGGGAGUCAGGGGCAGACUCCUUUUUGGUAGAGAACCCUCUGCUGUAGAACGUGCGAGAAAUAAUAAUAAAUAGUAAUAGUAUGGAAGAGUGUAGAAUUAUUACAUGGUAAAGGUAGCUGUGAUUUUUGACCUGAUAAGCUUAUUUAGCCAAUUCCGGAAGUUUCCUUAUUGCAAAGUGGGCGGAUUUUAAGUGUUCCUUACCAAUUGUUAAAUGUGGUGAGAUGGAUUUUAUUUCCCUUGGAUUCGUGCUAUAUCUGCCAUGGAAAGCAUGGGUGGUGUUGAUUGUAGCUCAGAUUGAAAAUGACAGCCAGGAGUUGCUUAGUUAAUGGGGUAUAUGUUGGUCCUCAAUUUGUGCAAUUCAUUGUUUAAUGUGAAUGAAUAAUUUAGGGAUGAAUGAUUGGGUUCAUUUUUAGACACUGGCUACCUUAACAGGAUGAUAGUUGACAAAGCUUCAUGUUAUAUUUCCUCACGUGAAGAGCUAAAGUUGUUGCCCAGGUUAAGUCAAAACAUUAGACAAGGUCAUAAUGUUAAUUAUUUGAAUAUGUUAAACUGCUGAAUAUACAUACGUUGGUGCAAAAGUAAUUGCAGUCUUUUGCACCAACUUAAUAUAUACACAAGUGUAUAUAUUUGUGUGGUGGUAGGACUAAUUACUUAAAUAAUUUUUCUCAACUUUGCAUAUACUUUUUUCUUCCUGCAUUUAAUCUAGUUUCAUUUGGAUUAUGUCUAGUUUCUGUGGAAGUAGCUUCAUAAAUAAUUUAAAUGAUCUUUGAUUUGAGAUUGACUCUUAAAAAUGGAAAUUGCAUUUAUCUGGGUUAGAAUUUUAUCUAGGAUUUUAAUUUAAUAGCUGUUAUUUUUACUUUCAAAUUCAUAUUUUAAUACAAUUAAAAGUUGGGUUUUUUAAUUUGGGGACAGACAGCAAGCUGUUUUAUUUUAUUUUUGCCUGCCAAGGAAUGCUUUUUUCCUUGACACGGACAAGGGUGCUCUUUCUUUUUCUGUUUUAGCUCUCCUGUGUCUUGGACUUCUUAAUUCUUUCUGGUGGGAUUUUUCUCCUUUCCUUCUUUACCUUUCACUAGAGAUAGAGUUAUCCCUUCUUCUGGCUCUUGUUUCCCUCCCAAGACAGCUACAUCUCACCAUUUGCCUUGGCCUCCUUUAUUUCUCCUUCUAUUCAUCUUUUGUACUUGGAGUGGUCCGCAAGGUGAGGAGAGUUGAGCUCAAUGAAAAGAAGGUAGACUUUUGCCUUUUUUAUGCAGAACAAUGUCUUCAAAAAAAUCAGAACAGAAAAAAUAAGAUGCAUUCUAAUGGAUCUUUGACACUUUUUGGUAAUGAAGCUUUUAGUUCCCAUAGAGUUGUGUGUAGGUCAGAAAAUCUGCCAAGUUUCUUACUCUAUGUUCAGCUCAGGUUUGCUCUGGCACCAAAGAGGAGAGAAACGGGGGGUUGCAGAAAACAGGGGGUUGAGAGCUUUAUCUUUUUGUCCUUUACUUUCAUCUUAAAAAAAAAAAA